UACGAAGGGGGCUAGCGUUGUUCGGAAUCACUGGGCGUAAAGCGCUCGUAGGCGGAUCUUUAAGUCAGAGGUGAAAUCCCAAGGCUCAACCUUGGAACUGCCUUUGAUACUGGGGAUCUCGAGUCCGGGAGAGGUGAGUGGAACUGCGAGUGUAGAGGUGAAAUUCGUAGAUAUUCGCAAGAACACCAGUGGCGAAGGCGGCUCACUGGACGAAUACUGACGCUGAGACUCGAAAGCGUGGGGAGCAAACAGG
rnacentral:rRNA from 1 species